ACGAACGCUGGCGGCGUGCCUAACACAUGCAAGUCGGACGCACCACUUCGGUGGUGAGUGGCGAACGGGUGAGUAAUACAUAAGUAACCUGCCCUUGCGAGGGGGAUAACUAUUAGAAAUGAUAGCUAAGACCGCAUAGGUAUGAUGAUCGCAUGAUCGUGAUAUUAAAAAUCCGAAUGGAUUGCGCAAGGAUGGACUUAUGACGCAUUAGCUAGUUGGUGAGGUAACGGCUCACCAAGGCGACGAUGCGUAGCCGGCCUGAGAGGGUGGACGGCCACACUGGGACUGAGACACGGCCCAGACUCCUACGGGAGGCAGCAGUAGGGAAUUUUCGGCAAUGGGGGAAACCCUGACCGAGCAACGCCGCGUGAGGGAAGAAGUAUUUCGGUAUGUAAACCUCUGUUAUAAAGGAAGAAAGAUAACUGUAGGAAAUGACAGUUAAGUGACGGUACUUUAUCAGAAAGCCACGGCUAACUACGUG
rnacentral:rRNA from 1 species